rnacentral:tRNA from 1 species
GCCUGGGUGGCUCAGUCGGUUAAGCGUCCGACUUCGGCUCAGGUCAUGAUCUCGUGGUUUGUGGGUUCGAGCCCCGCAUCAGGCU